CAAGGGACCUGAGAUUGCCCCUCCCGCCGGGGGGAGGAGCCAUUCCUCUUCCUUCGCCGCUUCUGCCCCCACCCCCUCUGUCCCGGAAGUGGUCCUUCUCUGGCUCCGGGUGCCGGGAGACGAAUCCCCGCGUUCCCGGAAGUAACCCGCCGGCGGCGCGCCCGGCCCGGGGCAGUGCUCGCUCCAGCCGGGGCGCUGCAGCCGCGCCCGGGUCCGGGCGUCGCCAUGACCAGCGAACUGGAUAUCUUCGUGGGGAACACGACGCUCAUCGACGAGGACGUGUAUCGCCUUUGGCUGGACGGUUACUCGGUGAGCGACGCGGUGUCCCUGAGGGUGCGCUCGGGAAUCUUGGAGCAGACGGGCGCGACGGCAGCGGUGCUUCAGAGUGACACCAUGGACCACUACCGUACUUUCCACAUGCUCGAGCGCCUGCUGCACGCGCCGCCCAAGCUGUUGCACCAGCUCAUCUUCCAGAUCCCGCCGUCCCGACAGGCGUUGCUCAUCGAGAGGUACUAUGCCUUUGACGAGGCCUUUGUGCGGGAGGUCCUGGGCAAGAAGCUGUCCAAGGGCACCAAGAAAGACCUGGAUGACAUCAGCACCAAAACAGGCAUCACCCUCAAGAGCUGCCGGAGACAAUUUGACAACUUUAAGCGAGUCUUCAAGGUGGUGGAGGAAAUGCGGGGCUCCCUGGUGGACAACAUUCAGCAACACUUUCUCCUUUCUGACCGGUUGGCCAGGGACUAUGCGGCCAUUGUCUUCUUUGCCAACAACCGCUUUGAGACGGGGAAGAAAAAACUGCAGUAUCUGAGCUUUGGUGACUUUGCCUUCUGUGCUGAGCUCAUGAUCCAGAACUGGACCCUCGGAGCCGUCGACUCCCAGGUGGCUGACAUGGAUGUGGAUUUAGACAAGGAGUUUCUCCAAGACUUGAAGGAGCUCAAGAUGCUUGUGGCUGACAAAGACCUCCUGGACCUGCAUAAGAGCCUGGUGUGCACUGCCCUCCGGGGAAAGCUUGGCGUCUUCUCUGAGAUGGAAGCCAACUUCAAGGUCUGUGGCCCAAUCCAGCCUCUGUCCUUUGGGCAUCGUCGGCCUCAGUGCACUGUCCCCAUUGGGCAACUCUGCUCAUGCCGGACAUUGACCGGCAGAACCUGUCCCGGGGGCUGGUGAACGUGGCCGCCAAGCUGACCCACAAUAAGGAUGUCAGAGACCUGUUUGUGGACCUCGUGGAGAAGUUCGUGGAACCCUGCCGUUCUGACCACUGGCCACUGAAUGAUGUGCGGCUCUUCCUGAAUCAGUAUUCGGCAUCCGUCCACUCCCUGGAUGGUUUCCG